GUAGGUGACCUGCGGAAGGAUCAUUACUGAAAUGUAAUAACUUGUAUUGAAAGGUUCCAGAGUAGGCGCUACAACGCCGAAAUGACCUUCUCACCCUUGUGUACUCACUAUGUUGCUUUGGCGGGUCGACCUGGUUCCGACCCAGGCGGCCGGCGCCCCCAGCCUUAACUGGCCAGGACGCCCGGCUAAGUGCCCGCCAGUAUACAAAACUCAAGAAUUCAUUUUGUGAAGUCCUGAUAUAUCAUUUAAUUGAUUAAAACUUUCAACAACGGAUCUCUUGGUUCUGGCAUCGAUGAAGAACGCAGCGAAAUGCGAUAAGUAAUGUGAAUUGCAGAAUUCAGUGAAUCAUCGAAUCUUUGAACGCACAUUGCGCCCUCUGGUAUUCCGGAGGGCAUGCCUGUUCGAGCGUCAUUUCAACCCUCAAGCUCUGCUUGGUAUUGGGCAACGUCCGCUGCCGGACGUGCCUUGAAGACCUCGGCGACGGCGUCCUAGCCUCGAGCGUAGUAGUAAAAUAUCUCGCUUUGGAGUGCUGGGCGACGGCCGCCGGACAAUCAACUUCGGUCUAUAUAUCCAAGGUUGACCUCGGAUCAGGUAGGGAACCCGAUGAACUUAAGCAUAUCAAUAUGCGGAGGAAAAGC
rnacentral:rRNA from 1 species